CUGCUCAAUGCAUUGUAAAUAGCCGCAGUAUUCUGACUGUGCUAAGGUAGCAUAAUCAUUAGUCUCUUAAUUAGAGGCUGGUAUGAAUGNUGAGACGAGAAAAAAGCUGUCUCUGAAAUAAUUAUUGAAUUUCAUUUUUAGGUGAAAAAGCCUAAAUGUAUUUGGGGGACGAUCAGACCCUUUGGAGCUUUAUUCCAACAAUAUUUUAGGCUACUUUUAUGGCAAGAAUUUUGUUGGAAUUUUGUUGGGGCGACAGAAAGUUACAGUUACCACUAAAAAAAAACACAUAUUUGUGGAACAUUGAUCCCUUACGAAGAAUUAAAAAACUAAGUUACCCUAGGGAUAACAGCGUAAUCUUUUUGGAGAGUUCAUAUANAUAAAAAGGNUUGCGACCUCUAUGUUGGAUUAAGAAAUUAGCNAGGNGCANAANNUUUGCUGGAAAGUCNGUUCNACUUU
rnacentral:rRNA from 1 species